GACGAGCGCUGGCGGCGUGCCUAAUACAUGCAAGUUGAGCGCUGAAGGUUGGUACUUGUACCAACUGGAUGAGCAGCGAACGGGUGAGUAACGCGUGGGGAAUCUGCCUUUGAGCGGGGGACAACAUUUGGAAACGAAUGCUAAUACCGCAUAAAAACUUUAAACACAAGUUUUAAGUUUGAAAGAUGCAAUUGCAUCACUCAAAGAUGAUCCCGCGUUGUAUUAGCUAGUUGGUGAGGUAAAGGCUCACCAAGGCGAUGAUACAUAGCCGACCUGAGAGGGUGGUCGGCCACAUUGGGACUGAGACACGGCCCAAACUCCUACGGGAGGCAGCAGUAGGGAAUCUUCGGCAAUGGACGAAAGUCUGACCGAGCAACGCCGCGUGAGUGAAGAAGGUUUUCGGAUCGUAAAACUCUGUUGGUAGAGAAGAACGUUGGUGAGAGUGGAAAGCUCAUCAAGUGACGGUAACUACCCAGAAAGGGACGGCUAACUACGUG
rnacentral:rRNA from 1 species